CUAAAUCGCUUAAACCUUAUGGUGCGGGGGACCCGUUAUAGGGAUUGUUACUACAAUCCAAGGGGUGAAUCCUUUCAAGGUAGGGCUACUCUUAGGUCCGAAUCCGACAGCUAACCUCGUAAGCGUUAUAUGAGAAG
rnacentral:sRNA from 1 species